AGUGAACGCUGGCGGUAGGCCUAACACAUGCAAGUCGAACGGCAGCACAGGAGAGCUUGCUCUCUGGGUGGCGAGUGGCGGACGGGUGAGGAAUACAUCGGAAUCUACUUUUUCGUGGGGGAUAACGUAGGGAAACUUACGCUAAUACCGCAUACGACCUACGGGUGAAAGCAGGGGAUCUUCGGACCUUGCGCGAUUGAAUGAGCCGAUGUCGGAUUAGCUAGUUGGCGGGGUAAAGGCCCACCAAGGCGACGAUCCGUAGCCGGUCUGAGAGGAUUAUCAGCCACACUGGAACUGAGACACGGUCCAGACUCCUACGGGAGGCAGCAGUGGGGAAUAUUGGACAAUGGGCGCAAGCCUGAUCCAGCCAUACCGCGUGGGCGAAGAAGGCCUUCGGGUUGUAAAGCCCUUUUGUUGGGAAAGAAAUCCAGCUGGUUAAUACCCGGUUGGGAUGACGGUACCCAAAGAAUAAGCACCGGCUAACUUCGUGCCAGCCGCCGCGGUAA
rnacentral:rRNA from 1 species